AAAAAACACACGAACGCUGGCGGUAGGACAACACAUGCAUGUCGAACGAAGCCUUCGGGCUUAGUGUGCGCACGGGUGAGUAGCACUGGGAGCCUACCUUACGGUACGGAAUAACUCAGGGAAACUUGGGCUAAUACCGUAUACGUCCUUCGGGAGAAAGAUUUAUCGCCGUAAGAUGGGCCCGCGCCCGAUUAGCUAGUUGGUGGGGUAACGGCCUACCAAGGCUGCGAUCGGUAGCUGGUCUGAGAGGAUGAUCAGCCACACUGGGACUGAGACACGGUCCAGACUCAUACGGGAGGCAGCAGUGGGGAAUAUUGGACAAUGGGCGCAAGCCUGAUCCAGCCAUGCCGCGUGAGUGAAGAAGGCCUUAGGGUUGUAAAGCUCUUUCAGCGGGGAAGAUGAUGACGGUACCCGCAGAGGAAGCCCCGGCUAACUCCGUGCCAGCAGCCGCGGUAAUACCGGAGGGGGCAAGCGUUGUUCAAGAAUUACUGGGCGGUAAAGGGCGCGCAGGCGGCUGGUCGCGUCAGGUGUGAAAGCCCCGGGCUCAACCUGGGAACUGCACUUGAUACGGGCCGGCUUGAGGACGAGAGAGGAGUGUGGAAUUCCCAGUGUAGAGGUGAAAUCGUAGAUAUUGGGAAGAACACCAGUUGGCGAAGGCGGAACUCUGGCUC
rnacentral:rRNA from 1 species